ensembl:ncRNA lncRNA:CR43314 long non-coding RNA::CR43314
CAGGCAAGUCGCAAAGUGGAACGCAGCGGCGAACGAGCUAAGAAAGUCAGUUGAAAACAGUGGAAACGCGGUGCCAGUCACUUUUUUUCAUUGCACAUAGAGAGAGGGCCCUGUAUACUCAGCAGCCUACCACCAACAAUCAACCAACCAACCGACCAGCCCAACCAACAUACCUGUCGUGUUGGCCACGUUUGUGGCGAUCCGAUCAGUGCACCGUCAGCCAGCGACGCGCACACACCGAACCACACAAUCCAGCAGUCUGGGAAACGAACACCACUGUAUAUACUAUCAAGCGAAGUGUUAGAGAUAAACUGAUAAUACAACGGAGCCGAGAAAAGAAAAGCACUAACGUGGCGUUAACUCUUUUAACUAAAAAACACUCACUCACUCAACCAAAAAAAAAAAAAAACGUCAGUAAAGACAAUAAACAAAGUAAAACAAAAACGAGUCAGCGGCAAAGUGUCAAUAAAACUCUCGAAUUCAUUAACACAACUCAAAACGUUCUAUUAGUAAGCACUUGCAAAUUUAAACGAAACAAAAAAAAAAAAUCUUGACAGAGAGAGAGAGAGACAGAGAGCGAUAAAAGGAGAGGGAACAUUAGACAGAAAUUAGCGUGGCCAACAGUCAAAAGGUCUAAUAGAAGCGCGUGUAUACGAGUCAAAAUGCCCGUAUACACCUCGUCGAGACCCACAAGCCAUGAUCGUAAAAACCACAUCAACAAAUGUUCGAAACGAGAUAAAAAAAACAACAACCGAGAAUAUAUGAAAAAUACAGAAAAAAAAGAUACAAAAACCCAGACGAGACCGCUGAGACAUGUCCUUGGCCUGUAAAAGGGCAGUGAAAUUCCUGGCACUCCAUAACAACAUCAUCAAAGGAUGGUGCGCAACUUCGGUUCCCAGGAGUCCUUUCAGCUGAACCGCUCUACUGAAGUACAGAAUUACAGAAAUUCAAAGCCCCCCCGCUGAAGUAUGCCAUAAGGUAAGUCAGCCAGAGAGAUGCUGUUUAUGGUUUUAAUUAAACGGGGGCAACAUUGGUGCGCCUCAUUAGCGGCAAUUUGUUGGGCAUGCCGCCAUCAAAUCGAAUCGAGUAGCCUUUUUCACGGAAGCCACACGGUCCCCAGAUAACCCACAAUCCACUAUGCACUAUCCAGUAUUCAGUGUUCGCUGCUCGGUACAUGUACAACCAUACAUACAUACAUACAUACAUAACCGAUACUGGAUAAGCUGGCACCGGAGUUUCAGCCCGGAGUUCCAGUUCCCGCCGCCGGACCUGCUAAUUAUGCAUGUGUACUGUGUGACGGGCUCAUGGGGUUUCUCGGUUGUUAGGUUCCUCGAUUUCUCGGCUUCUUGGGGCCUUAGCCUUAUCUAUCAAAGCGUUGCGGGGCAUAAAAUUCAAAUUGACACUACUGCGACGAGUGAAAGCGUGUGAACUGAACUUGAGACGUGGCACAGAUAAAGAUAUACCGCAUAGACCAAACAGUCGGCGGAGCUAUAUAAAUUAAACUGAAACCGCAAAUAAACAUGAGGUUUUCCAAUGGGUGGCAAACAAGUGGUGAAAUAGAUAACGAGUCAGACGCGUGACAAAUGCAUAGAGAGAACAAAUUGUUUAGCAAAGAAAUAGUUUAAAAUCUUACAAAGAAAUUAAAUACAUACAUUUCAAAAUACUUUUGACCAAAAAUCAGUUGAGAUAUCCGUGACUCACGCACAUUCUCGCAAUCUCCUCAUUUUCAUGCAUAUGCAAACCGGGCAAGACAACAAACAGAAAAACACAUUUAAGAAAAACAAACCAACAAAAGCCGCUGGCACAACAAUCACCGAGCUUAACCCAUAAAUCUACACAUGUUUACAUUGGCUUAGCCACUCGAUUUGAGGCCGUUUUCUGAGCCCGGUGCGCUUCCAUAUCAGUUGACAAAUUUGUCAACUUGCCUGGCAACUUGAAUGACAUUUUCCAAACCAAUUUCCCCCGACCAACCACCACCACCACCAAAAGUGGAAACCACCCAAAGGAAAUCCAAACAAUGGACAAACAGCGAACAACUUGAGUCAGCUGCGACGCUUUCAAUUCAUGAAAUGGACAAUUGUUGUCUCGCAACGUUGACUCAAUUGAACAAGGCCCACAGAAACAGGUAACAAUAUUGGCCAUCAGCAGCGGCAACGGUAGCAGUCAACAACUGUAAUUACUCCGACUGCGAUAAGGUUGGCCAAGUUGAAGUUGGAGUUGCACAAGUCAGUCUUAUCAGACAAUAAAUUGCAGUUGGAUGAGUCAAUUGUUUUUACUUUAAUGGAUGCCUCUCUGCUUUUUGUUAAUGAAAGUCAUGCAUGUAAUAGGAAGUUAUGCUCACACAGCACAGAAAUGUAGAAGUAUUUGUUUGUUUUCCUUCCAUGGAUGUCAUAGAUUUUCAAAGGAUAUAUGAUUGGCUUUUUGCUUAAGGCCAAACUACCAAGUUCAUAGAUAUAUAAUUCGUUUUGCUUUUCCAAAGCUUAUACAUUAUUACAUUGAGUGUGAUCACAACAAAUUAUAAAAAUGCAAUGUAUAAGCCUAUGCGUUACUACGCCUCCAUGGUUAGAACAUAAAUCAUGGCCAUAUCUUUAUCAACUAUCUGCUAUCUAAUGCCAUCGAUGCAGCUGCUACCGGCCAGAAGUCGAAGAUAAAUGCGACCGCGAAAACUUUGACAAGCGAUUAACUUUACAAUUUAUCGCCGAGCAAUUUGAAUCGUCGUAAAUCUCGGCGCGGCAGCUAACCGUGUGUUAAGAACUGGUGCCCCGGCUCAUGUUGCGUCAUUAAUUUAACCAGUUGUUGCAACAAGUAUUAGCUCAGCCAUUGGGUCAGGUUCGAGGCGCUCUCUAAGUAUCGCCCUGAUUAAAACAUCAGGCCGAGCUUGGGGUAAAGUUGUUCCACCAGUCGAGUGGAGCCCCUCCGCUGCUCCACUGGCACUUUGCCACUCGACUCCUCUUCUGCUUAUCCCAUGGAGUCUGUUUUUAUUUAUGCAUGUUUAAACAUAUUUAAUGUCAUUACGGGCACCUCUUGCGCCCAGCGCCCAUGCCACAAAACACGCAUUUAAUUAUCUGCCCGGCUCCACAUGCCCCAUGCGCAUUAAUUUAAUGAACGCAUGCAUUUCACAUUUUUAUCAUGUCCAAUUGGAUGGAGGAGGGGCAUUUGGAGAUCUGCGAGGGAUCUGGGGGCAACUCGGGGGAUCGCUGGUGUAUCCCGGUAGCUGUCCGGCCUGUUCCAAUAUAUUUAUUGCAUCGUCGCCUUCAAUGUGGUUGCUCUGGUUAGCGCUGCCGUUGUUGUCGUUGUCGUCGUCGCGUUUUUAAUCGCAUUUAAUAUUUCAUUUUAUUAAGCCAAUCGUUGAGUCCAGCAGUUGGGUGUGCAUCUGCAUCUUCAUCUUCAUCUCCAUCUGCGCGAAAUGUGCAUCGCCAUGUCCGCGAAUGUCUGCUGAUCGUCUGGCGAGCAGUGAGCAAUUUGCUUAAUGCUGUCAUAAGGCUGUCAGUUUAUCAUUUGCAUUGCGGCGCCUUUGGCGACAUGGAGAUGACACUUAAUAAGUAGCCAACUUAGUUGCCACCAAUUGCUAGCUGGCCGUUAAGAGUGGUCAGCUUGGAGUUGGCAGUUGGUUGGUUGGUUAGCUGAUGGAAACGGACGAAAUGCCAGACAUUUCAUUACUGCCAUGUGGCUGCCACAACUCUGCAGCUGCAAACUGAAUACAAACUGCAUUCCAUUGAGCCAGCCAAGCGAAGUGUAGCAGAGCAAUUGUCAAUUGCACCACCCUAUAAAAGAAUGCACAGGAAGAAAUUCUAUAUUUUCAAACUAUUUUAUACAUUAAAAAUCCAAUGAAAGUAAAAAAUGUAUAAUGUAAUCAAAGUUAAAAUGUACAGCUAGUUUAUAUAUCAGGUUCCCAUACCAUCUUAAAAUUUUAGUAGUUUCGGGACAAAAAAUGGGUAAAUCAACUGUGGCAACCUAUUGAGGCAAGUUUUUGUUGCUCCUGUUUCCUGUCGUUACAUGAGAUGCACGUUGUAAGCGGAUAGGCUGUGAGGGUUGUUCAGAAAUUCACUUAAUAAUAAUAUUGCAUUAUAUAUUCAAUGUGAAAGCUUUAACUGAAAUGAUUAUCUAUGAAACAUUUAAAGAGUAUUACAUUCAAUAUGUGAUAUACAAUUUAAAUUCAAUACUCACCAAUCUGCCCUCGCUUCGUACCCAUUGAUACUUAUGCCAAUUACCAUUCUCCGUUCGCCUCUUUGCAGACAAAUGCCAUGGACUCGCUUACAAUUUGGUCUCGUCUUGUCAAUCAAUUGGGAUCGAGUCGGGGUCUAGAACUGGAAAUGGCCAAGGAUGACCGGCGACCGUUUCCUGUUUGGGUUGGCAAGUUGGUAAGUUAAUACUCGGACUAGGCUCUAACUUAAUUAGCCGCACGACAGACUGAAGACUAAAGACUGAAUGCCGAAAGCACACGACCCCGACCUCUGGUGACCUCAAAGCUGACGGAGGCGACUAAUUUAUCAAAAUGGCUAGAAAAACUGAAAUAACUCUACGCAUAAUUAAAUCCAGCUAAAAACGAAAAAUGAGUGAAACACCGCGAUACUCAAAUGCGUUUUUAAACCGUUGCGCAACGCCUAUUUCUAACAGUUUUAAAUUUUGUUGAGACUUUUCUUUGGUGUUUUGUUCGAAUUUUUCUUUUGCUUAAUUGCCGCCUAUUAAUCCCGACUCCGUUAAUGGUCUCACAAACAAAAAUUCUAAUUAAUGAAAUAUUUUUCGGCCUUUUGCAUGCAUUGUCUACUGUAGGCAUUCCAGCCCACCGAAAGUAUAAUCAAUCAUGGCCCAAGACCUCAUGGAUCUCACAGAUGGUGGAGAUUUUUGGACAAAGUGAACUUGAGUGUGUUGACAAAUUUGUGAGUUGCCGGCAUGGAUUGACAGGAAAAUUGAGUAAUCAAUCAUGGGCCAUCAAACGAAGCCGACCACAGCGAAUUGGCCUUCGAAAGGUCUGUUUAGUUAGUUAGCGAAAUCAAGUCUUAUCAACUGAUGAUGCACGUCGCGGCCAUUAUUUAAAUGCUAAUGUUAAUUAACGAAAUCACGUUAGUCGAGAAUGUUGACAAAAAUCUCACAAUCAGUAGUAGUAGUUGCUGCUCGAACAAGUUGAUUCAGGUUUGCUUAUAUUUUUAGUCGCUGUGCCUCGCAUGCGAUUGAAACGAAAUAUAAAAUUACAUUAAAUUACCGGAUGUAAUUGCGGUGGUCGUGCCAGUCGCCUCUCUCAACCCGGUCAAUGAAUCACGGCCCGGCGCACACGAAAUGCGUCGAAACAAAAGACUCAGGCAACGAACUCGAAUUCAACUCGGCCAGAUUUCAAGCGGCCGAGCACUUCACUUACGUAUGUCCAAAUCAGGGAAACCAGCAACCCACACAGAAUGGUAGAAAAAUCGAAAAACAAAUGAAGAGAGACCCACACAGAAAGGCCAGUUGAGUGGUAUCUUAUCAGGGCUAACGAUUUUGUCAAAUGACAAUUUUCUUGGCCCCAUUGAAUGCCUCUUUUUCACGCCAUUCAUUGACUUUUGUAUGGUCCAUUUAGUUGUCAAUUAUUUUUGAUAGCCUCAGCUGAGGCAGCUGAUAAGAACUGGUGACUAGCAAGCACAAGACUUGUUUAACAAUCCCAGGAAAUCCGUACAUUGAAAAGAGGAGGGGAAAUAGAGGACACCAUCGGAUCUGUGGCUGUGGAUCCAGCUACUGCCUCUCUCCGUUUUGGCCAAAUUUGCAUAUUGAACGGCAGUUUGUCUUGAGCCUGAGCUUUUAGUUAUGGCCGAGCAUUAAAUUUAACUAUUAAGCCAUUUUCGGAGGCCAGUUUUGUGGAGCUUGACUUUCCAAACAUUGUCCCCUGACAGUUGUACCCUAUGGGAAUUAUUUUCUUUUUUUUUCUGCCGCAAUUUAUGAGCCAAAAAGACACAGAUAGACAGAAUGAUUAACAUGAAGUGGAGAGGCAUGGGAACCUUGGAUUGGCAAAGUGAAAUGUUGAAAGCAAUAUAACUUUGACAUAUAAUUAAACAGAAAUAAAGGCUUUAUUUCUUAAAUCAAUGGUUCACUCAAUAGUGGCACACCCAAGUAGGUUUAUAUACACUAGCUUGCCAGCUGCAAUUGAAAAAAAAAACAAUUGCAAGAGUCGACUUAAUUUCAUCAUAAAAAUGCGAAUUAUCUCCAGAUGAAAUUCAUUUCUUGCAACUCAAUCAAGAGGCAUGCAACAGAGGCUGCUGACCUAUAUAUGGUUAAUAAGAAUCAACUUACAUGCCCGCAAAUGUAUGUAGGAAUGCUGGUGGCAUAAAGACCAUACAGAUAUACAGAUAUCCAUAUUGAUAUCUCCACCUCUGUUGCAUUUCGGUUCGUGCAACAAUUUUCGUCGAAAACAAUUUUCAGAGCACGAAACGAAACGUAACGAAAACGGGAGGGGAAAGAUCAGUGCAGAAAAUGAGAAAUUUUCGCAGUGCAUCAUAUGCCACGCACGUAGAAACCAAACCAAAAGCAAACGAAACAGUAACAAUCAGACAAUCAUGCACAUAAUCAUGCCAUCAAUAUAUGGCAAUUAUCAAUGAAAUUUAUAACAAUCCACGAAAUGUAACGAAAACUUAACCGACCAAUAAAAAUUUCAUUUUUCAAAAAGGAGCGCUCAACUCACUGCAGUUCGUCAUCCUCGUUCUGCAAGAAAAAAAAAGGUGGAAAAAAAAAAUCAGGAAAAAUACAGGGGAAAAAUGCCAGAAACAUGAUCAUGAUGUGGCCAAUGUUGCUGUUUUAGCCCCGUUCGCUUCGCCUUGUGAUCUGCAUCAUAAAAACGUGCCAGAUUGAUGCGUGAUUGAAAUGCCAAUUGGUUUCCAGUUGGACGCGGUUCGUUCCUCUGCUCUUCGUUUCUGUUUCUUGUUGGAGUGUGCGUGCUGUUACCGUUACCAAUCCAAUCUGCAUUGUCAUCUUGGACAAUUAGAACCAGCAGAGAUCUCAAAGAUACAUUUAUUUUCGAGGUACCUAACCUAAGCUAACCUACGGACAAGAAAAGAAAAGUGGGAGGAUGGAGUCCGACAGCCAGAUCUUUGGUCAAUAUCUCAAGAGGAAGAGGGUAAAAUCAAUCCGCUAGAUAAACAGUUAAAGCCAUGGCCAAAAGGGGCGGCUGGCUGGCUGGAGGUGGUCAGGUUUCCGUUGUCCACAUACCGUUGGGAGAGGUUUUGUCGCCAUGGCCAUGACUUGUGGUGUCCGUAUGUGGGUCACACGCUCUGACGAGGGUUACCACGAUUUCUUGACGGGAUUCGUAACGUAACGAAAGCGGGAGUCACAUUACCCACUUCAGUUCGAUACCAUCUAUCUUCCCGCUGAUUCGGGAUUUAUUUCAACAAAUAAUACAUGAAAUAGUCAUAGUUUGUUUCUUAAAGUGUUUAACAAAGUUUGUUAGCUUUAUAGAGUGUUAACCAUUCGGAUAUCUGGCACCCCAUAAAUAUGCAUGUCGUAAAGUCUCUGGAUGGCGUGCUGUCGCAGUUGGCUGAUGAAUGGAGUCUGCUGGCGCCACCGGGAACAGCAGAACUAUCAAACUCCACCGGAUGGCCGGCCAUCUAGGGCAACUUGAUCGACUGGAGCUCAGAGUCUGGAGCUUGGCGCUGCAAACUGCGACUCGCACUCGGUGUGGAUAUAUCGGUGCAAUAACAUCUGGUAAGAGCAAUCUGCGAUGAAGAGCUUCCAUUUGCUUUUUUUUUUUUCUUUUGUUAUUUACAACGUCUGCAACUUCCACUCUUAUCGCUGGCAACAAAUUGACCAUUUCAAUUAAUGAAACGCACUUAAACACCAGAGUGUUCUGUUGUCCGCCGUUUGCCACUCAAGUGUUGGCGCUAAUGAACAUGGCCAAUCGUAAAGGCCAACACCGCGAUGAUCCUUUUUUUUCUGUUUCUCUGCUACUUUUCCCGCCUCGUCCCGCUCACAUUUGCAUAUUUUGUUGUCGAGAUUAAGCGCGUAAAUUUGUCGUUAAAAAUCAUGUUUGAGAUCGGCCACAGAGACACACGCGAUUGCUCAAGAGGAAAGGAGGUAAGAAAAAAAAAAACAACAUUCGAAACACAGGCAGCUGUUGAUUUUCAACUGUUUCGAAUCGAGUUCGUAUUUCUCGUAUUUUGAUUGCGAACCGCUCGAUUUGAUUGAUGGCUGUCGCCUCACGGCGCAUGCGCGGCAUGUCUAUGCCAACUGACGUACUGAUUUACCGUUGCCUGAUAAGCAAACUAACCGAAAAAAAAAAACGAGUGGCAAUUACCUCAAGUGGAGCAGCAUUUGGCAUUUGCAUAAAUUGGCCUAAAACAAAAAAAAAGGCAGACAAAAAUCGGGGGAAACUAUCGAGAGCCAAAUGAAACGAGACGAAACGAGACGGGGCAAUGAAAUCGGAGCUUUCUUCGUGACUGGCGACGUUUUCCCAGCCUUUCGAGCCGAGAAGUCCUCUAUAAUGAGUGACGUGAACCCAGGGGUCACAGAUGUCCAGAGCAAUUGGAUGUUACAAUUUGUUUGGCCAGCGACAAGUCAAUUUGGGGUUACAUGCCCUCGGCGGAAAUUACCAACUAAACAACAACUAGCUUAAAGAUCACUUUCAAAUCGUUAAAAAAAAAAAUUAUUUAGAAAUUUACAUUUUUAAAAUCUUACACUAAGGUUCAUUUCUUUCCCAUCAUACCAUCUUUCCCAUAUAAUAAAAUUUUAAUUUUUUAGUGCACCUACACCCAAUUACCAAGUAGAGCAUGGAAAUGCUCUUAAGCUAUCCGCUAUCUAAUUAGUUUAUGCACCAUUAUAAUUUUUAAUUGCCUCUGCUCGCCGCAAACAAGAUGGAAAAUGCUGGGCACAAGGAGCGGGAAAAUUCCAAUUGUAAUUUUAUGCAACACGCAGCCGCAAAAUGAUUUUCACAGCAAAUUAUGCGGCCAACCGCAGUUGUAGCCAUGGAACAUGCAACAUGGAUUUCCCACGCAUGCCCCCAAUGAAUGAAUGUAUGAGUAUAUAUAUGUACCUAUAUACAGAUAUGUGUCUCUAUAGCGCAGAAGCGACUUCCGCGAUUUGAACCUGCCGCAGAAAGAGAAGAAACAAAAUUUGCGUUUUUGAUUAAAUCGUGGGAUAGAUCAAAGCCAUCUUAUCAGGGGCAAUGUUUUGGCCAACGUGGGACAGAAACUGCUGGGGUGUUCAGGUUUUAGUUCGCACAAUGCGAUGAGAAUUUCGAGUCAAAGAAUGGCGGAAGUGGUGGCUGCUAAAAGAUUUUCUCCAAAUGCUGACGGAUUCAUGAACUCAUUAACUUGUUUUUUAUUGAUUUUAUUUCUAGAAUUUCAUAAACUAAAUGAAGAUUUAAAGGGUAUCCAGUGCAUGCGGGUGAGUAAUCCAAUUUAAACUGACAAAACAAGAAAAGUAAAUAUACCAUCUAAUGGUAUAUAGAUCUCGGCACAGUUAAUGGCACUGGAAGAAUUCACGGGGUAAUUUUUAUACAACCCGUGAUCUCUUAGUGGCAUCUAUGGUGCGAGAAUAAAACAUCCAAAAUGAAACGAAAUCCGAAACUUUCAAAGUUAAAAAUGUGCUAAUGUAAACUGCAUUGAAUCCGGUAGCUCAAACGAAAUCAAUUCUAUCUCUUAUGAAAGUAAAUUAAUAAUUAGAGCGGCCUAAUUAGCACCUUCAAUCGCAGAGUGGGAACCAAAAAACAAUCUAAUUCAUAAAUUUCAAAUCUACAGGCAAGGAAAACCUUUCAAAAAAUGGUAAAAAAAAGUGCUGAGAAAGAGAAUUGAAGGGAAUGGAGAGUUUAUGAGUCCGGACAUGGUGGCAGCCUUGAAAAAUCACCUUUCACACCGCCUAGAGUUCCCGGUUCUCUUGCUUAUUUUUUGUAAAUUCUUUUUUUUAUUUUUUUUUUACCCACAAUUAACAGUUCAAUGAACCAGGUUGCCGCCGAUUCUUCGCAGUCCCUUGAAGUUUCAGCCCAGCGGAUGGAAGAAGAAACGAACUCACAAAGUACCAAUCUCCCGAAGAAUAGCACAAAGCCCAUGGAUAAUAGCCCAAUGGAGCUGUUGGGCAUGCCAUCGCUACAAAAAAAAAAAAGAAAAAAAGAUACAUACAGAUACAAAAAAAUAAAGGCUAAGCGAGGUAAAAAAAAGAUAAUUAACUUUUUUUCUUUUAGCACUAAGUAUGCCAAAGAGGAAGCACUAACAACAGCAACAGCAAGAAAUUACAACACAUUACAAUGGAUGGGGGCAUUCGGCAAGUGUGAGAGCGUUCCCUUAAGUCGGCGCUACCCGUCUCUCUCUCUCGCUUCCCUUACAGCCGUCUCUUUCCAACGCUAAACGCUUCAAUGAUUUUGUCAUGCAUAAAUUUUGCAGGUUUGCUGAAAUUUCUGCACUCCGCCGGGCGAGAAUCAAAUAAAUUCCGGCACAAAACUCUUUUUCCCUUCUGGCCAAGUUCCGCUCGAGCACAUUUAUGCGGAAGAAGAGGGGUCUUUUUAAUGAUGACGCUUCCUGUUGGCCGGCCGCACAUAUAUUUAUGAGACACCUUGGCGUUGAUAAGUCCCAGACGAAGCUUCAAUUGAAAUUUGUACUUAAUUAAGUCUGGUAUGGCGAACCGGCGUUUCUUUGAUCAUCGACUAAGAAGGAAUUCUGAGAAUUCGUCAAGUAGCCUACACUUGGGAGCAAUUAUUCACUUAGGCUUAAAAACAAUAUUUUUUAAACGCGGGAAAAUAGAAUUUACAAAUAUUU